GCCAAAGUCUUAAGGAUUGAACUCCCUGGGGCUUUAUCUGUAGACAAAGACAUAUACAUAAUGAAGAGUAAAACAGGCCUUAAAGGGGUCAUAUGAUGCUGCUAAAAAGAACAUUAUUUUGUGUAUUUGGUGUAAUGCAAUGUGUUUAUGCGGUUUAAAAAACACAUUAUUUUCCAUAUAAUGUACAUUAUUGUUUUUCCUCUAUGCCCCGCUUUUCUGAAAUGUGUCGAUUUUUACAAAGCUCAUCAUUCUGAAAAAAAUGAGGUGUGCUCUGAUUGGCCAGCUAUCCAGUGCAUUGUGAUUGACAGAAUGCCUCAAGCGUGUGACGGAAAUUUUACGCCCCUCAACAUACUAUGCCGUCUCCAAGGCCAGCAGCACGAGACUUCGUCCAGCUGCUCUGCUCGUGCAAAUCCCAUCAUCGUACCAAAACUUCUCUCCAGCCAUCCGACAACAUGCCCUCUAGACCCAAUCCCCUCACACCUUAUCCAAGCAAUCUCUCCUACACUCUUACCAGCACUCACACACGUCAUCAACACAUCUCUCCUUACAGGCACCUUCCCCACUGCAUUCAAGCAGGCUCAGGUAACCCCACUGCUCAAAAAACCUACAUUAAACACUUCUCUUAUAGACAUCUACAGACCUAUCUCUCUCCUUCCAUUCAUAGCAAAAACCCAGGUAUCAACCAGGUAUCAUUGUUUCUUUUACAGACCAACAAACUGGACGCUAACCAGUCAGGUUAAAGGAGUGGCCAUUAAACUGAGACUGCGUUACUGUCAGUCACGGAAGCCAUGUGGAUUUCAAAAGCUGAUUCCAAAUAAUCAGUUCUUAUUCUGCUGGAUCUAUCUGCUGCUUUUGAUACUGUCAAUCAUCAGAUCAUCCUGUCUGCCCUCUCAUCACUGGGCAUCACAGGGAUUCCACUUAGCUGGUUUGAAUCACUAUUUGGUCUUUCAGGGUGGCCUGGGGAGGGGAGGUAUCCAAAGCACAUCAACUGGUCGCUGGGGUUCCUCAGAAAUCAGUUCUUAGACCUCUCCUCUUCUCCAUAUACACUACAUUACUGGGUCCCAUCAUACAGGCAUAUGGCUUCUCCUGAUGACACACAGCUCUAUCUCUCAUUUUAACCAGAUGAUCCAAUGGUAGCUGCACAGAUCUUAGGCUGCCUGACGGACAUCUCGGCAUGGAUGAAAGAACAUCACCUACAGCUCAAUCUGGCAAAGACUGAGCUUCUUGUCUUUCCUGCCACUUCAACUCCAC
ensembl:lncRNA